UACGUAGGGGGCUAGCGUUGUCCGGAUUUAUUGGGCGUAAAGAGCGUGUAGGCGGCCAGGUAGGUCUGCUGUGAAAACUCGAGGCUCAACCUCGAGACGUCGGCGGAAACCAUCUGGCUAGAGUCCGGAAGAGGAGAGUGGAAUUCCUGGUGUAGCGGUGAAAUGCGCAGAUAUCAGGAAGAACACCAAUGGCGAAAGCAGCUCUCUGGGACGGUACUGACGCUGAGACGCGAAAGCGUGGGGAGCAAACGGG
rnacentral:rRNA from 1 species